ACUUCUUCACUUAUCGAUUCCUUAAAAUGAGACUACUUAAUCACAAAUAAAAGAGAUUAGAGUGGUUGUCACCUUAGUAACCAAAUAUGAGGCUGCUGCUAGUGAAAUCUAGCAAGGAGAAACAACACUUGCAGCCUCCAGACGUUAGAUCUAGUGGUGAAUGACUGGCAACCAGGGCGGCGAGACCUAGUAGCACCCAUGUCUGAAAUGAAGGAAAGGCAAAGGCUCUAGCUCAUGUUAGUGUAAAAGAUAGAGCGAUAAAGGAUAGGAGGGAGAGAUAGAAUAACAAAGAAAGAGGGGGAGGGAGAUGGGAGAUACAUGUUGGUGAGGCUUUAUAAACACAUUGGAAGGUAUGCGAGAGGCGACGGGGAGAGAGCAUAAAGAGAAACAAGGUUCUUGCCUCUGUUUAUUUAAGGGAACAACACCAACUUACAAAUGGUCCAAACUGAGACCUAGGUGGUCCAAACUGGGCCUAGGUGUUUCGCCUCCAAAUUUCCAAUGUUGCCUAUGCCUUGGGCCUCAAUGUCUGCCUCUGCCUCUGCCUCAACCCAUGGCUGCAGUCUCCUCCCUUUCAUUGCUGCAUUUCCUCUUCAUCAUCUUGAGAUAAGCGCCACAUUAGUGGAGGCUGAGAGGGACCAUCCAAGUCAAGUCAGAGUUGGAGGGGAGGAGUGGACACCAAUGGAGAGGUUGGGCAAUUUGUUAUCACUAAAUAUCUCUAUAUUCAAUGUCUUUCUGAUCUUUUGCUGCAGCAGGCAAGACGAAUA
rnacentral:lncRNA from 1 species